CCCGCUGUGCGCGCCCCUCCGCGGUGGGCUUUUAAAGGCCGGCGGGGCGGCGCGGGGGCUCCCAGGACCUGCGCGCCGCCUCGCCUGCCGUGAGCCCUCGCCGCCGCCAUGCUCUCCGUCCGCGUCCCGCUCGCCACCAUCGUGGACCCCCAGCAGCAGCAGCAGCUCCAGCUGUCGCCCCUCAAGGGGCUCAGCCUGGCGGACAAGGAGAACACGCCCCCGAGUCUCAGCGGGACCCGCGUGCUGGCCAGCAAGACCGCCAGGAGGAUCUUCCAGGAGCCCGCCGAGCCGAAAACUAAGGUGCUUGGCCCCAGCGUGGAGGACGAGCCACUACUGAGAGAAAACCCUCGUCGCUUUGUCAUCUUCCCUAUCGAAUACCAUGAUAUUUGGCAGAUGUAUAAGAAAGCUGAGGCUUCCUUUUGGACAGCUGAAGAGGUGGAUCUUUCCAAGGACAUUCAGCACUGGGAAUCCCUGAAGCCUGAGGAGAGAUACUUUAUAUCCCACGUUCUGGCUUUCUUUGCGGCGAGUGAUGGCAUAGUAAAUGAAAACUUGGUGGAGCGGUUUAGCCAAGAAGUUCAGAUUACAGAAGCCCGCUGUUUCUAUGGCUUCCAAAUUGCCAUGGAAAACAUCCAUUCUGAGAUGUACAGUCUCCUCAUUGACACUUACAUUAAAGAUUCCAAAGAAAGGGAAUUUCUCUUCAACGCCAUCGAGACAAUGCCUUGCGUAAAGAAGAAGGCAGAUUGGGCCUUGCGUUGGAUUGGGGACAAAGAGGCUACCUACGGAGAACGGGUUGUGGCUUUUGCUGCUGUGGAAGGAAUCUUCUUUUCUGGCUCUUUUGCGUCAAUAUUCUGGCUCAAGAAACGCGGCCUGAUGCCUGGCCUCACGUUUUCCAAUGAACUUAUUAGCAGAGAUGAGGGUUUACACUGUGACUUUGCCUGCCUGAUGUUCAAGCACCUGGUCCACAAACCUUCCGAGCAGAGAGUGAGGGAAAUAAUUAUUAAUGCCGUUCGGAUAGAGCAGGAGUUCCUCACGGAGGCCUUGCCUGUGAAGCUCAUUGGGAUGAAUUGCAUGUUAAUGAAGCAGUAUAUUGAGUUCGUGGCAGACCGACUUAUGCUGGAGCUAGGUUUUGGCAAGGGGCCAGGAAGACAACAAAGCACAAAGCAGAUGAAGCCCAGGCCCUCGUGGAGAUUGUGCACUGACGGGGGACGUGGGAAACCAGCCAACUAACUGAUGUGUGGUCCGGUAUCAGUUGGCAUGUACCAGUGGAAGCCGGAGCCUUGCUCGGAGGCUGUCACAGCUGUCCAGAGCCUUCUGGAGACUGUCCCAUAACCCUGAGCUGCAGGCCUUCCGGGCCCAGGACCCUAACCAAAGGCGGAAUCCUCAGGGCAUACUGGCUCUUCCUUCCACCCGUGUCCCUGGCUCUGGGCCGGGCUGUGCUCCCUUCCGAGGACUCAGAGAAGCCAGGCAUCUCCUUGGGUGCUCCCAAGGUCCAAGACGAGGUCUUGUGUCUACUUGCUAAUGCACAGUUUAUUCCUCUUCCAAUUUUCUCUGGGACCUGUGCUUGUCCACAUGUUUCCGUGGUGUGGUGGGAAGUGAGUCUUAUGGGGCUAAUGGCUGCAUGCCAUUUGGCUUCGCUGUGCUUCUGGAGAUUCGGGGGGCUUAGAGCUGGGGCUCCAGCUGCGCACGGCUGCCUGCCUUCUUGCGGCAUUUAGCUUUUGAGCCCGGCGCCUUCCUUGGCCCCAAACAUGUGAGUGACCUCAUGACUCUGGCCCUUCAGUGAUCCCCGACAAACUCUUCCAGCACGUAGGUGGAAUUCCUAUUUUUAAUAGCCAAGUUGUUGAGAAGUUGUAGGGCUUCUACUUCCUUUUGAACAGAAGGCUUCCAGAAAUAUUUAUACCUUAGCUUCUCCAAAAUCUAGGAAGUUAUCCCGGCCCAGAGGAGGUCAGCAGGUGGCGUGUGGCGUGGGAUCACCUAGGAGACGGCCCCAGUGACAUCACGCUCGGCUCACUCGGUCAGGCUGUCCAGUCCUCUCUGUCAGCUGAGCGCCGAGGGGGCGCGCCUGGCCCUGCUCUCUCCUGGGUGUGUGUGUGGGGGUGAGGGUGGACAGGAACCAGGUCUUGGGGGCUUUCAGUGUCAUGCUGAGGGAUCUGAACUCUGUCCCUGAGGCCGCAGUGAGUUUUAGCGGAGGAGUAAGCAGAUCAGAUGUGCAUUUCCAAGAGGCUGGAGGGAGUGGAUUAGAGCUGCGUUCUGUCAAGUCUUUCAUUUUGCAGAGGCCCGUGUACAACCUCCCAGGAUGCCAGGACGCAGUCACUCCAGCCAUGUGCAAUGCAUUCCAGCGUUUUCUAUUCUACUCUGUUUCAUUUGUUUUUCUAAAAAUACUGUUUGCAACCGUCUGCAUUGAUUUCCUGUCUCCCUGAACGUUUUUGAUCUGCAGUUUGAACAGCGCCGGGUUGGAGGGAGGAAGCCCGGGCAGAGGCUGCUGUCUCUGCCCAGCUGGGAAACUGUGGGGGUGGCAGUGCCGGGCCUGGGGCAGACAGGGAGGCUUCCAUUGGGGCGGUCCUCGGGCCCCGGGGCUGUGCGCAGCGCCUUGAAUCCGUGGGCUCAGCGUACCCCCUGCAGGAGCCGUGGAGCAGCCCCUGAAGCAACCAGAGGGGCCCGUGAUGGUGUUGUGUUGGGGAAUCCAGAAGCUGUGCUUUCAUAACUCAGACAUGCUGCGUGGUGUCUGAAAGUCAUUUCAUUAAAUGUCGCAUGGAAUCAAAAUAGAAAUUACAUCUUUGGGACAAAGCCCAUUGAGCCAGGAGCCAGGCAUUCUGAAUUGGACCCAGAAUAGUCUCACGGAAGCUGGGACCGUGGAUCCAAGGCAACCCUUGUCGACACGGCCAGCCUCCCCCGCCCCCCCCCCCCCCCCCCCCCCCGGCUCACACUUGAAUCCCCAGAUGCGGCAUGUGGUCCUGGAGCCCAGUCGACUCGCAAGAAUCAAUGCGGCUGGGGUGGGGGGGUAGGCAGUGAUGACAGCCCCCCUUCAUCACAUUCCUAGGUGGCCAUGCCGAGCUGAAUCGUCAUGUAUAUUAUCCCUGAUCCCCACCUACUUCUGGGAGGUACACUUAUUAUAUUUGAGGAGGCUCAGGGAGGUCAAGGUAGGGGUCUGAGGUCGCAUAGCUGGCAAGAAGCUGGGUUUGAACUCCAGACCAGCUCCCACAGUCACUUCCUCUCCUGCAUCUCCCCUGUUGCUCUGGUUCUUGCAACUAGCUGACCAAAGUUGAGGGACAUGCCCAGAUGAAAGCUGGGGGAGGGGCUUGGGCCUUGGCAUGUUUGAGGCUCCCUGGCAAUCUUAACAUCGUGCUAGCUGGGGACCACUGCUCUGGGAAGGGGCACAAGUGGCCUUUGUAUCUGCCUUCCAUCCCAGCCUCUGCUGGGUGGUGUGUUCAUUCAGCCAGUGCAUGAGAAGGACCCUCUUCUGGAGGCCUGGUAGCCCACACCUUGCAGCCCUGAGUGCAUCCCCCGCCCUCGCCCCCCACCCCUGCCUCCAUGGGUGUGCUCAUCCCCCCACCCCUGCCCUUGUGUGUGCACUCAUCCCUCUACCCCUACGCCCAGGUGCAUGCUCAUCACCCCACACCCUGCCCCCGGGUGUGUGCUCAUCCCCCACCCCCAGGUUUGUGCACACCCCCCACCCCGCCCCCAGGUGUGUGCUCAUCACCGUCCUCCUGGUCCCCCCCUUCCCAGGUGGGCCAGGCUUGGAGGGCAGGAGAACUGGGGUGGGGUAGGGUGGAGCAGGCCCUGAGGGAGUGCCUGGUGAACCCAGAAGGGGAGGGAAGAGGACAGG